CUCAAAAAGCCUGUUUUCUGAGUAAAAUCACUGAAAAUGUUCCUGGGCCCAACGAUCUGAAGAAGGCAUUCGACGAGCUGAAUGGUACAUCGCCAAUACCCUCAACCUGGAAACUCAACGCAGCUCAAGUACGAAGUUGUCGGAAUCGUCAACAAUCGAUCACGUUUGAGCGAUGAAAUGGCUGGAAUGUGUGCCAAGCUGCCGAUUUAUCACAUCAAGAAGAACGAUGUUGGUAAGAGAUUUAGGCGACUAAUACUGUACCGGCGUUUCUGCCCCUUAUCGUGCUACGAUGUUUGGCGCUGCUGGGGGGUUGGAAGAAAGUGCUACUUGCGGCUGGGUGCGAGAUUGUGUUAGGCCAUGUUGUCAGUUAGGAUGUUUUCGGUUAGGGUAUCGAUGUUGUCGGUCAGGAUUUUGAUGUUGCCACUCAGGAAAUGGAUAUUGUCAGUUACCAUGAAGAGAAAAGAAAUUAAGCCACUCAGAGAAAUAUCAUAAUACAAUUUCACGCACGGGAUGUAAUUAUUCAUGUCUCCUUUAUUAUAGUGGCGCACUGAAGCUUGAAAUUUGAGAAAAAACACUCUGCAGUAUCGCUCUGUAUUGAUGAGGAAUCCCAGCAGAGAGCCGGCAAUAUAUACCAGCUAAGGCGAAGGGGUUGAAAAUUAAAAAGUCGUCAGAGAAACUAAACUGUAUAGUAAAGCAUUGCUGUAUCGUGUGCAAAUGCACAAAGUAAAGUCGAAGAAAUUUUAUAAGUAAUUCGGGCUGAGCACAAAAGAUUUUGGAAGAAUCAGGUUUACAUGAUGUGCUACCCAAAAUGCGUAUGAAAGAGUAUUAUGUACAUAUGAUGUACGAUCCUCGCAGUAGAUAGCGCUAUUUAAGCAAUAGCUUUUGCUUUUGCUUACUGCUUUUGCUUUUAAGCAAUAGCUAUUGCUUGAAU